AGGCAUGCAUCCUAAGACAACAAGGAGCCUUGGCUGAAAACAGCAGAAUGUGGUUUUAAGCUACACUCCUGUCUCGCCUGCAUUCUGCAGUGACUGGAGAAGCACUGAAACUGGAACAUCACCAAAGGCACUGAAACAAAAACUGAGCAAUUGAGACAGCCUUUCUCAGCUGGGCGCAAGGUGCUGCAGGACUGGAGCGGAGCCUGUGAGGCAGAUGACAGCACUUAGGACCACCACAGAGAGGUCGUACAGAAAGAGGUGGUGUGCAAGGAAAAUAAGAAACGGGAGCAGAAACGGUGCUGACGACGGGGCAGCGGCUGCGCUCAACGCCAUGGGCUGACUCAGGACAGAGAUGAGAAGGAGCGAGGUCCGA